AUUGGCACGACUAAGUUUAGGGCAUGGCUCUGAUACCAUGUUAGAUUGAAUGGCACGACGACCUAUAUGGGUCACGACCUCAUGUAUUUAUAGAUGCGUAUAAUGAAGAUUACAUCCCAAAUCUAUGAUUUGGUAACAAACCAUAAAAUCAUAGAUUUGGUAACAAACCCUUCAAAUCAUAACAACUAGUAAAUCUUAGACUAUUUUAGUAUAUACAGUUAUGAUCUAUUUUAGGUUUAACACCCCCCUCAAUCUGGACGAUGUACUACUAAGUUCAGAUUGCGCCUAAAAUAGCUAAAAGAAGGAGCUGGUAGUGGCUUUGUCAUGAUAUUGGCGAGCUGAUCCUUGGAAGAUAUGAGUCGAACAUCAAGCUGACGAGUCGAUACUCGUUCACGAACGAAGUGAUAAUCAACCUCAACAUGCUUCGUCCGUCGAUGAAAGAUUGGAUUGGCGGAUAGGUAGGUGGCACCAAUGUUGUCACACCAUAGGCUAGGCGCUCGCGCUUGCGAGAUCCCGAGCUCACGCAAGAGAACUUGGAUCCAAAUUAAUUCGGCAGUGGCAUCAGCAACCGCCUUAUAUUCGGCUUCCGUACUAGAACGAGAAACUGUCGAUUGUUUCCUCGAACUCCAAGAGAUAAGAUUGCCACCAAAGAAGAUCACAUAGCCUCCAGUGCUUCGACGAUCAUCAGGAUUCCCAGCCCAAUCAGCAUCUGAAAAGGCACUCAACAAAUCAGUGCUGGACUUUGUAAGACACAAACCCAUAUCAAUAGUGUCAUGUAGAUAACGGAGAAUUCGUUUGACUGCCGCCCAAUGUAUAGAAGUUGGAGAGGACAUGAACUGACACACUCUGUUGACACAGAAGGAUAUAUCAGGACGUGUCAGAGACAAAUAUUGGAGAGCACCAACGACACUUCGAUAGCGAGUAGUAUCCUCAGGUGAGAGCUUUUCACCACCAUUCAAUAACAACUUCUCACUGGGAAGCAUAGGUGUGGGCACACCUUUGGAGGUGAGCAUAUUGGUUCUGGCUAAUAAAUCUCGAAUGUAUUUAUGUUGUGUCAGAAUAAGUCCACUAGAAGUAUGGCGGACCUCAAUCCCAAGAAAAUAAC